rnacentral:misc_RNA from 1 species
UCCGAUUUGUCACCGACCUUGCGGGGGCUACAUCUCUGCAGCUUUCCGGCAUAUGUCAAACCCAGGUAAGGUUCUUCGCGUUGCAUCGAAUUAAUCCGCAUGCUCCGCCGCUUGUGCGGGCCCCCGUCAAUUCCUUUGAGUUUUAGCCUUGCGGCCGUACUCCCCAGGCGGGGCACUUAAUGCGUUAGCUUCGGCACGGAGAACGUGGAAUGUUCCCCACACCUAGUGCCCACCGUUUACGGCGUGGACUAC